rnacentral:pre_miRNA from 1 species
UAAAUACUCGUUCCGUCAAACAAAAGAUGUCUCAAGUUUGUUAAAAUUUAAAUAUAUCUAAACAUGAUUUAGUGUAUAGAUGCAUUCAAAUUUAGUCAAAGUUGAGACAUUCUUUGUUGGACGGAGGAUGUACUAU